rnacentral:lncRNA from 1 species
CCAGGAUAGCGCUGGUACCUGUGAGUGACACUUUCUUGGACCGUCACCAGGAGUUAUAGAGUGCUCUCCCCACCCCUACGAGUCUAAGGCAAUGUUCAGGGUCCAUUCUUGGCUUCCCCUUGGAUUUAUCAACUUGAAUUGAUCCUGAUGUUUAGUGAGGUCAAACUGUAAUAAUCAGCCAGGAAUAACGGACUGUGCGAAUGGAGCCCAUGCUGCAUGCCAGAGCCCUGACUAAUGUGCCCUUUGCCAGCAGGACACAGGACAC